rnacentral:rRNA from 1 species
AGUGGACGGUGGCGGUAGGCCUAACACAUGCAAGUCGAACGGCAGCACAGUAAGAGCUUGCUCUUACGGGUGGCGAGUGGCGGACGGGUGAGGAAUACAUCGGAAUCUACUUUUUCGUGGGGGAUAACGUAGGGAAACUUACGCUAAUACCGCAUACGACCUACGGGUGAAAGCAGGGGAUCUUCGGACCUUGCGCGAUUGAAUGAGCCGAUGUCGGAUUAGCUAGUUGGCGGGGUAAAGGCCCACCAAGGCGACGAUCCGUAGCUGGUCUGAGAGGAUGAUCAGCCACACUGGAACUGAGACACGGUCCAGACUCCUACGGGAGGCAGCAGUGGGGAAUAUUGGACAAUGGGCGCAAGCCUGAUCCAGCCAUACCGCGUGGGUGAAGAAGGCCUUCGGGUUGUAAAGCCCUUUUGUUGGGAAAGAAAAGCAGCAGGUUAAUACCCCGCUGUUCUGACGGUACCCAAAGAAUAAGCACCGGCUAACUUCGUG